CUGACGGUAGUCGUAUGCUCGUCUCCGAGACUAAGCCAUGCAAGUCCAAGUACACGUCCUUGAACGACGGAAACUGCGAACGGCUCAUUAAAUCAGUUGCGAUCUACUCGGCGUUCCGCGCCGCCGGAUAACCGUAGUAAUUCUAGGGCUAAUACGUGCGAAGCGCCCGAAGCCGCGAGGCGACGGGCGUUCUCGCCGGAUGUAGGAACCGACCCGGGGACCGCCGGGGCAACCCGGCGCCCCCGAGACGGGGCGAACCACGGUGAAAUGACGGAUCGUCGGCCCCGCGCCGGCGACUCGCCGAAUGAGUUUCUGACCUAUCAACUCGAGACGGCGGGGUAGAGGCCCGCCGCGGUAACGACGGGUAACGGGGAAUCAGGGUUCGAUUCCGGAGAGGGAGCCCGAGAACGGCUACCACUUCCAAGGAAGGCAGCAGGCGCGCAACUUACCUAAUCUCGAUUCGAGGAGGUAGUGACAAG
rnacentral:rRNA from 1 species